UUUAAUUCGAUGAUACGCGAGGAACCUUACCUGGGCUUAAAUGCAUAAUGACAGACUGGGAAACCAGUCCUUCUUCGGACAGAAUGCAAGGUGCUGCAUGGUUGUCGUCAGCUCGUGCUGUGAGGUGUCGGGUUAAGUCCCAUAACGAGCGCAACCCCUAUUCUUAGUUGCCAGCGGAUAAUGCCGGGGACUCUAAGGAAACUGCCCGCGCAAGCGGUGAGGAAGGUGGGGAUGACGUCAAAUCAUCAUGCCCCUUAUGAUUUGGGCUACACACGUGCUACAAUGGACAAUACAAAGGGCAGCGAAACCGCGAGGUCAAGCAAAUCCCAUAAAGUUGUUCUCAGUUCGGAUUGUAGUCUGCAACUCGAC
rnacentral:rRNA from 1 species